AACAAGAACAAGAACAAGAACAAACCAACAAAUCUCAACAAAUUCAAGCACCCAGCAAAAGAAGGACUCUAAAUAGGGGAAGGGACUGGGACUUGGUUGAUCUCUUGUCACCAUUCUUGAACAUCAAACAAACUACCGUAAGAUUUGAGAUACAUGCAAGUAACGAUGAUGGAAAGUAGAGAAUGAAGAGUCAAUGGCAAGUGGAGAACGAUGAGUUGACGGGAACUAAAAUGGCCUGAUAUUGCUUUGUCAGAUUGUAGAAAGAG
rnacentral:misc_RNA from 1 species